rnacentral:lncRNA from 1 species
UUAUUACCAGGGAAGCACAAAGAACAGAAUCAAUACAGGUCAAGAAUGAGUGACAGGGGGAAGGUGAGGUAGACAUGGUUUGGUUUUUCACUGAUGAAAAGAGUUACAUCUUGGAGGAUGAAGAUUUUCGUGGGGAAAAACUCUUCUGCCUGUUCCUGGCUUCCUCUUCCCUCUCUCCUCACUCCAAAGCAAGGUGAGAAAAUUCAGGCUUUCUUCUCCCUCUCUCUCCUCAGGCCUCUGAAUGACAUUUGACAGGUUCUUCAGAGCCUGUCCUGAGCACUGCUGCCCAGGAAAAGACUCUCCUUUAAGUCACAAUUCCAGGCCUUUUUUCUCCAGCUGCUGUCCAGAUGGAAGUUUGGGGCUCAGGCCCAACUGCCUGCACCCACAUCGGCACUCUAAGAAUUCCAGGAGAUGUGUUUGGAAGCUAACGAAGAUCCCCCUUCUCUGAGCGGGGCACUGAGAACCCUGUUUGCAUGUCUCUUUGAUCCUUCCCAGUAGGCUACAGAUGACUGGACCAGGGUGGGCACCUGCCUCACUCUGAGCCAAUCAGAUCCUCUCCUGGGAGUUUGGGAUUGGAUCUGCCAAGCCCCAAGUUCUCUCUCUCCAUGUGGCUGAAACCAAGGGACACAAUACAGGAACUAUAGGUGGCUUGGUGCCUGAAAAGGCAGAGAUAUCCAGUCUGUGGAUACAGAAAGGCAGGGUGCAGAGAAUGGCUGCUUCAAGUUCCCUUGGCCCUCCAGGUCCCGCCUUCCUGAAGCUAAUGGUUUUCCUUCCCCUUAGUUCCAGGGAAUCCCUUCUGUCCUUGUAAUAAGCCCUUCUUUAUUACUGAAGCUGGUUUGAGUGGGUUUCUGUAUAUAAGCAAAGACCUAAUUAAGACAAGAGAGAAGCUGGGAGCCGGAGGUACGCAGAUGAACAAUCCUGAAAAAAUAAUCACUGUGCCUACGUCGGAGAAGCCCAGUGCAGUGGGAGACAGCGAGUAAGAGAUGUAGACUUUGCACAGAUGUGGCAGAGGGAGGGUGGGCUAACUCUGCCUGGGGAGGAGCGGAAGGGCUCCACAGGCUUCACAGCGAAGGUAGCAGCUGAGCCGAUUUUGAAGAAUUAAGGACAUUCUCCAUGGAGACAAAGUAGGGGUGGGGAGGCAUUACAAGCAAAGGGAACAGCAAGUGCAGAUGCACAGAGACCCAAAACAGCCUGGUGUCUUAGAGGGACUGGAGUUCAAAGUGUGGCGGGGAAGCAGGGAAGACAGGCAGUCAGGCGCACAUCAUAAAGGGCUUUGAAUACCAUGAUAAGAAGCCGAGGCCUUUUCCUGUCAGUGACAGGGAGCUAUUGAAGUAUUUUAAGUAGCAGGGGGUGACGGGGUCAGUUCUGUGUUUUAGAAAGAUUGUUCUGGGGCUGCUUGGAGAAAGGGCUGGAAAAGGCAGGCCUGGAGGCAAGGACCAGUUAGGAGGCUGCAGCACUCCUCAUCUAGUCCCUUCAUUCAUCUAACAGCUCACUGUGUACCUACUAUGUGCCGGGGUGAGGCAAAACGGAUUCCUGAGCCCACAGAGUUCACAGCCUAGCAUGAAAUAGACAUGAGGGAAAAGCGAUUUGAGUGUGCUGAAUGUUAUGAAGAAGUACAAGGUCCUCUGGAGCAGGGUGCUGUUUACUGUCUGGUUUUUAGGCUUCCCUGCGGAAAUGACGUUCGAGCUGGUAUCUAUCUGAAGGAUAAGUAGGAGUUAGCAGGGCCCCAAGAGGGGGCGUGCAUUCCAGGAUUGGGGACAACACGUGUGGAAGUCCUGCAGCUGAGGGAGAGUGGCAGAAGAAGACACAAAAAGGUAGGCAAGGACCAGAUCCCACAGGGCCUCGGAGACUGCGUCAGUGCAUCUGGCUUUCAUUCCAAGAAGGCUUGGAAGGGUCCUAAGCAGGGAAAUGACACAAUCCAACGUUUAUCCUAAGAAGACCAUGAAAGAAAGCGGGGCAAGAACAAAUGUCAGGAGACCAGGUAGGAAGCUGUCACAGUGGCCCAGGACCUCACAGGCACCACGGCGCCCCCUGCCCUGCCCUGCCCUGAAGCAGUUCCAGGAACGUCAGAUGGUAAGAGAAGAAACGACUUACAAACGUCAAGUCCAUUUUACAGAUGGAAAAUCUGAAGCUCAGAUAGGAGAAAAGACUUGCCCAAGUGCCUGGUAUGAAGAGAAAGACUUUAUAAUGUCCCUUUCAGACAGAAGGAAGUAGAGUGGCCGGCCCUGAAGCCCAAGUUAACCUGCUUCCCCUGCGCUCUCUACUUCUAGAGCAAUGGUUUUAAACUUGGGGCGAUUUUGCCCCCCAGGGAACAUUCGACCAUGUCUGGAGACAUUUUUGGUUUUCCCAACGAGGAGGUUGCUACUGGCGUCUCAUGAGAAGAGACCAGGGAUGCUGCUACACGCCUUCAAUGCACAGGACAGCCCCUGCGCCAGAGAAUUGUCAGGCCCGAAAUGUCAGCAGGUUUCUGAGGUUGAGAAACUCUGUUCUAGGGCCUGGCAUCUGCCUAUAUAAACUUCCAAAUAGACUCCUGGAGUCCUGGGUUCUUCUGCAGCCCGGGAGGAUACUGUAUGAAGUCUUUCCUAGGGUCGUGCCUGCCCCAACUUGUAUAUUUAACCUUGCUUAGGACUGGUCAGUUCCACUCUUGGGCUCCAGUGUUUUGAAUUCCACCCACUGACAGAGAGGACAGAAUAAUUAAUAUUUGCUGGAGGCAUGUAAAACCAGUAGUCUCCCUGCUGAGGGCAUGAAUUAAAAUGUAAAUGGGA